rnacentral:rRNA from 1 species
AACGAACGCUGGCGGCAGGCUUAACACAUGCAAGUCGAACGCCCCGCAAGGGGAGUGGCAGACGGGUGAGUAACGCGUGGGAACGUACCCUUUGCUACGGAAUAGCUCCGGGAAACUGGAAUUAAUACCGUAUGUGCCCUACGGGGGAAGGAUUUAUCGGCAAAGGAUCGGCCCGCGUUGGAUUAGCUAGUUGGUGGGGUAAUGGCCUACCAAGGAGACGAUCCAUAGCUGGUCUGGGAGGAUGAUCAGCCACAUUGGGACUGAGACACGGCCCAAAGUCCUACGGGAGGCAGCAGUGGGGAAUAUUGGACAAUGGGCGCAAGCCUGAUCCAGCCAUGCAGCGUGAGUGAUGAAGGCCUUAGGGUUGUAAAGCUCUUUCACCGGAGAAGAUAAUGACGGUAUCCGGAGAAGAAGCCCCGGCUAACUUCGUGCCAGCCGCCGCCGUAAUAC